UCCAUGGAGUGGGGCAAAUAGAACCAAAAAACUAUUUUGGUGAAUGUUAAUAAACUUCUCGAUUUUGGUUAGAAAUACUUCCUCAGCUGAUGUCAUGCACGCCUUGGCAUCCAUCAACAGAAACGCAACUCCUAGGAAAGGUGAAUAUGAUGUUGUUAUGUGGCCGCGUAAGCUCAAUGUGACCAGGGACCGCAAACUCAUAAGGGGUAGAAUUUAUUAAAAUUCUUAUAUAACAAAUUGGUUUGGAUAUUUCUUUGACAUGCUCUCAAAAACAGAAUGACUCGUUCUAAAUGUUUAAAGGAAAAAGAUUGGCCAGUAAUUUUUUUUUCUGCCAAGGAAUUGGGCACAUGAAAGUGACACCUAAUUUUUAACUAAAAGAUUAAGUCUAUUUUAAAAGUUAACCCUUCAAGCCAGGUGUGGUAGUUCACAUCUAUAAUCUCAGCAUAUGAAAGGCUGAGACAGGAGAACUGUGGUGAGUCCAAGGCCAUUCCAGGCUAUAGAAACAACCAUCCAGGACUAUAUAAUAAAAACUUAAACUAAAAAAAAAAUAUCAUACUAAAACUUUGAAAAUAUUUCCUGGCUUAUUAGAAAAGCUAUUCCAAAGGAUAUGAGUAAAGAGCCAAAAGAAAGUGCACAGGGACAGGUAUCUAGGAGGAACAGGGACAGGUAUGCAGGAGGCACGGGGACAGGUGUCCAGGAGGCACUGGAGCAGAUGUCCAGGAGGCACAGGAACAGGUGUUCAGGAGGCACUGGGACAGGUGUCCAGGAGGGACUGGGACAGGUAUGCAGGAGGCACUGGGGCAGAUGUCCAGGAGGCACUGGGGCAGAUGUCCAGGAGGCACUGGGGCAGAUGUCCAGGAGGCACAGAAACAGGUGUUCAGGAGGCACUGGGACAGGUGUCCAGGAGGUACGGGGACAGGUGUCCAGGAGGCACAGGGACAGGUGUCCAGGAGGCACGGGGACAGGUGUCCAGGAGGUACGGGGACAGGUGUCCAGGAGGCACAGGGACAGGUGUCCAGGAGGGACUGGGACAGGUAUGCAGGAGGCACUGGGGCAGAUGUCCAGGAGGGACUGGGACAGGUGUCCAGGAGGGACUGGGACAGAUAUGCAGGAGGCACAGGGACAGGUGUCCAGGAGGUACAGGGACAGGUGUCCAGGAGGCACAGGGACAGGUGUCCAGGAGGCACUGGGACAGGAGUCCAGGAGGUACUAGGACAGGAGUCCAGGAGGUACUAGGACAGGUGUCCAGGAGGCCCAGGUGUCCAGGAGGCACUGGGACAGGUGUCUAGGAAGGACAGAUGUCAAGGAGGUACAGGUAUCCAGGAGGCACAGGGACAGGUGUCCAAGAGGUACCAUGCCCUCCCACAACCACUACCUUAUACGCAUGUGUUCAGCAACUCUAGAUUCUAUAAUGACUCAGAGGUGAGAACCAGCGAGAGAAAGGGAGUUUAAAGCAAAUCUUCAAUUAUUUCUUACUGAAGAGACCUUCCUCCCUUGGGAGGAAACAUGUAAAUUAAUGUAUUGAAAUAAGCAGGUACCUGGUGUCUGAAAUGGGACCAAGUUAUCCGGAUGGUCUUAAGGGAGACUUGAGUUUAGUUAUAGCUGUUCAGAAAAUAUAGGCAGGACACAACCUACAGAGAGCUGUGUGAUUACAUAGUGACUGAAUGCAUUUGUACAUUUUAUUGAUGUCUCUGAAUGCCAUUGUCCUCCUCCUCAAGAACAUGUAAAGAAUACCUGUUUGUAAGCAUACCGGUGAUAACCAAAACAUACAAGUCACCAAAAAUACCCUUUUUCUCUGGAGUGUUUCCCAUUCAAGCAGGAGGAAUGCUUUGGGAUCUGGAUAAUUUUCAGCAUGUCUUUUUAGAUGAUUCAGAAAGCACCUGCCUUCCAAUAUCCCUGCUAGAAUGGUAAACCUCCUAACAGAACUGCUUCUUUCUUUCUGAUUCUGCGACGGCCUCACUGUGGUGCAGGCUCGCCUUGGACACCUGCACUGGGGUCGAAGGCUUGUGUAUGACAGGGCACACACAGGUUGGUCACCACAGAAACAAAUCUACUCUCUGGGGCAAGACACUGAAAAGGAAGGAGUGAAACUAUUCCUGCUGAAGCUGAGUGUGGACCUGGAAAUCAGUGCUCCUUGGGGUCGGAAAAUGAGGGGCAGUGUCAAAGAACUGAAAACCGAGAGAACUAGGGACAGUUCUUUUUCGGAAAUGACCCAGCAAUGUUCUGACCUGCAUUAGUGUAUAACUGUCAAAGAAGCUGGGAGCUGUUUUGUAGAUGGCUGAGAGGUCUGUAUAGUAAUGCAGAAAACCGCAUCGGUGACAACCAAAUUCCCAAUACAUGUCUUUACAUUUACUGUGGAUGAGCCAGAAAGUAGAUAAAGGCAGCAUUACUACAUUCUGAUUUACAUAUCAUUAAAAAUAAUUACCUUAUUUACUGUUCUAUCCAAACCACUAGAUUAUAUCAAAGGGCUAAAACCUAAGUGGUUGACAUAUUUCCUAACUAGAUAGAACUGAAGCUUGUUAGUCUCCAUCUUAAAAAAAAUUAACUAGGUCAGGGAGAUAGCUCAGUGGGCAAGAGCACGUCUUAGGUAAGCAUGAGUUCAAAUUCCUAGAUGUCAUACGAGGAGUCAGGCAUGGUCACACAUGUCUGUAACCCCGGUACUGGGCUCGCUGGCUACCCACCUAGCUCCAGAUUCAGUGAGCAACUCUGUCUUAAUAAUGAAGAGAAAAGCAGGCAGGACCCAUGACAUUCCCCUCUGGUUUCCGAAAAUUCGUGUACUUGGACCCACAUACAUGUACACAGACACAGACACAGACACAGACACACACACACACACACACAUACACACACACCCCUUACCUAAACUGAAUUUAUACUUUCCUUCAGAACAAUGUAAUUUAAGCAAUCUAAAAUCUAUGCUUCCUUUCCUACCCACGGAGAGCAUUUCAUGUUACUGAACCCUAGUCCUGCAGUUCAACCAUGCCCCUUUCUUGCGUGUCUUUGAAAUUGUACACUGCUUCCAGCAGUGACAGAUUCAGUAAUUUAGGCCAACUCUCUGCUAAUAGAACUUGAAAAAACGAGAGUUUAAAAAAAAAUCUGUACAAACACAUCAAAGAAUUAACAGGAUAGUGAGAAACUGUAAGGGCAAGGUCUAUACAAAAAACUCAAAGCUAUGACCCCAACAUGUAGGCCAUUUCUUCCCCAAGGGCACCUGCCAAUUCAAGAAGGGCAGAGAAAACCAGGCAGGGCUUUUGACAAAAGUGGAGCAGCUCUCACAGGAGUGUAGCAGCCUCGACCACCUCAGUCCUGGAAGUGACGGUGUGCGUGUGCGGCAGAGCUGCCAGAGCCUGCAGCACCUGGGAGGAGUCUUUCUCAGCCCAGCUUCUCACAGCCAGGCUUCUCACAGCAGAUCUGCUGUUACAGGGGAAACCUGAGAGCCUGCUGUCCCCAUUCUCCCAUAGCCAGUGCCAUUCUAGACGCACGCAAGUUAGUGCACACUAGUUAAUGACACGCGGCUUGGUCUGCCAGACUCAGCAAAUACAAAUAAACAACGCCCAGUUAAACUUGCAUUAUAAAUGUGAAAUUUGUUUCCAGUGCCGGGAACCAAAUCGGGAGCUUUGCACAUGCCCCUACUAUUGACCAGCCUUGUGAUGUGAUUUGAAAGUGUAUCGUAUGUAAUAUUUAGAACUUAUAUUAAAUGCAUUAUUCAUCUAAAA
rnacentral:sRNA from 1 species